AGUAUCCCAAGGCAGUGGUUUUCAACCUUUUUUUCAUUUGCAGACCCUUAAAUAUUUUCAGAUGGAGAUGUAUACCCCUUUGGAAAUCUUAGACAUAGUCUGUGCGGACCCCACAGGGGUCCACAGAUCACAAAUGGAAAACCACUGCCUUAAGAUGUUUAAGCAGCACCAAUAUGGUAGACGUUAAGGAUCCUAUGGCAUUUUACAUAAAAUGGGUGACAAGCUCAGGGUCCCAACCACCAUUGCCUCUGUCAGCAAAUCUGGUUUUGCUCUAUCAACAGCACUUAGGCAUAUUCUAUUGGUAUUUAACACUAAGAAAGAGCAAACACCAACUAUAAACUCAAGGAAUAGAAUUUAUACUCACAAAUAACCUGCUGAUGCAGAGACAUGAGCGCUAAGCCAUAUUUACAUUAUAGAGAUAUUUCACUGUAAUUUCUCAAAAAUAUGCAUAAUAUAUAUUAGAAGCAUAACUGCUGCUGUUAUGUACACAACAUGCAUUCAACAACCACUUAUAGUGUCUUGCUUUCCGAUUGACUCUCCACAGAUUUAUCUGAAGUGGUACACUUAAGUUAUGAAAGAAAGAGAAGCAAAGUAGAAAGGAGCAUAAUUGUGGUUUCUGAAAGUCAGGGAUUCCUCUAGCCCCCUCCUCUACCACAAACAUUAAAUAUUAAGAAUAGUUGUUUCUAAUAAUAAUAAAGCAAAUUUUCUAAGGUCUUGAAGACCCAGCAAUUUUUUUUGAACCCCCAAUUGUUGGUCAGCUGACAACACAAACUAACAAAAGACAAUGUUUAAAAGAAGUCUUACACUAUUUUUAUUCCUUUGCAGAUCUCUCUAAAGGUUCUGGGGCUGAGUUUUUCCAUGGGUAAAAAUCCACUGGCAUGAAGCUUAAUACUUUGUUUAGCCACCAACUUUUAGCGCUGAUUGUCUGCCCCAUUCUUUGCAGUUCACCCUAGUUGAGUGACCACAGCUGGCUCCCCACAGGGACCCCGGACACAAAAGCACUUUGGGAUCCUCAAGGAGAAGACACUAUGUGACUUCUGAGCAGUAUCCCCAGAUGCAAGAGAGAGCUUCAGAAUAGAGUCCAGAAGUAAAGACAGCAUUGCAGAACCAAAGUGCUGCAUUGGAUCUGACAGUAUGGCUCAAGGCCUAAUGUUUCUCAAACAUAUGUAUUGAAGCCCAUGUAGCAGCCCUACGUAUUUCAGAUACUGAUAAUUCAGGAUGUCUGAAAGUGGCACCAAAUCAAGCAGGAGGCAGCGAUGACACCACCAAUGUAAGAAUUUCUUCCAUUUCUGCACGCUAUGAGGCAGAGGACUGCUAGGUUUGGAUGAAAUGCAUAACUUGUGUCUUGGACAAGAGAUAAUGGUCAGGAGCUUGGAUGACAGUUGGACACAUAGAUG